UACGUAGGGAGCAAGCGUUGUCCGGAAUCAUUGGGCGUAAAGGGCGCGUAGGUGGCUUCUUAAGCGUGCGGUGAAAGCCUGGGGCUCAACCCCGGGCCUGCAGUGGAUACGGGCUGGCUAGAGGCAGGCAGGGGAGAACGGAAUUCCUGGUGUAGCGGUGAAAUGCGCAGAUAUCAGGAGGAACACCGGUGGCGAAGGCGGUUCUCUGGGCCUGUACUGACGCUGAGGAGCGAAAGCGUGGGGAGCGAACAGG
rnacentral:rRNA from 1 species